AUUAUAGCAAACUAAUGUAAAAUUCAUUAAAAUUUAUUUAUUCAAAUAUGGUAUAAAAUCGAAUUUAGCCGUUUUCAGUAUUUGAGCCAACAUAUUGGCUACUUGACAGGUUUCCUGCUCGAUUGGCUGCUGUUUUUUGACGGUUCGAUUGGCUGCACAUACCUAUCCGCGUUUCUCUUAGGUGCCUGCCAGAGUAGACGCGUCUACGCGACGCGGCGCGAAAAUUGCACACGAAGGAAUAACAAUCAAUAAUAAGGAGCUGUCAAUUCGUAUGGACGCUUCGCUUCGCUUCGCACUUCGCGUCUACUCUGGCCGCACCCUUAUUCAGGCCUCUAAUACUGCGUUUUUGGCUCGUGCAAUCGUCUAUUAUUCAAUUUCAAACGUUUUUUUUUGUGUGCAUUAAGCUUUCAGUGAUCGUGUAUGUACACGCACGUUUCACUAACACUUUUACUCGGUUUGUUUGCAACCACGAGCAGCUGUCACGGCAAAAUCAAAUCUCGGUUACAGAUAAAUCAACCCAAACUUUGAGUUCAAUAUACGCACUAUUGAGAAUAUCGCAGAAAAAAUUUACCCAAAUUUGGGUAGUUUUCCCUUUCUUUCCUAUGAUUGUUGCCAAAACUAGAGCAAGAUGUAAACACCUCACCGGGGUUGCUCAGCCCAAUAACCCAAAUUUGAGUAAAUUCAAAAUUCUCAAUUUUGAGUUGAUCCGCUUUGGAUAAAUUAAACUCAGCUUUGGGUAAAUUGUUUAUGAUGGCACACUGCCAACAUAUGCACCUUUCAUUAAUUUACGGUCACUGUCGGCCCACUGCCGCAUGGAAGUUACACUCACAAUCAUAAAGCACACAAACGAAACCGUCGACGCUAUCAGCCCACUGUCGGUAGCUCAACGGUGCUGCAUACAUGCUGGCCCACUGCCAACAGGCGUAGCUGCACGGCAUUGAUCGGAUGACGAUGAUUGAUGAUGACGACGUGCCGGCUCACUGCCAACACCUUUAUAAACGCCACGCUUGUGACGACGCUCUUGCGAUGGACGCUUCCACCACACUCACACACCGAAAACGAGAUGCGGAUCGUGUGUUGGUUGACCCACUGCCAACCACACAACCAGAUGACUAUCGGUGUCGCUGCUGGGCUGGAUUGGUUCCAGCAACGAUGAUUCAGAGACGCCUCGCUUGGUGCUGGCUGCUAAAUGGCUUCCAAUCACACUUAAAUCAAAAAUUUCAGCUCGGUAAUAUUUUUUACUGAUUUUAUCCAGUAAAAAUAAAUUUUAACCGAGGCAUCAGUAAAAUGUAAAAAACUUACCGAUAUCUGUAUUAAUUUUUGCCGACGAUUCAGCAGAAUAAAAUGAAAUACUGAAUCUCGGUAGUGUAGAUUACCGAUCUGCACCGUAUUAUGAAAAUCUAUUAAACUUGUCAAAAAACAUACCGAUCGCUCAGUAAACAUAUUAAUCAUUUACUGAGUAAUCGGUAAGUUAUUUACGGAGCUCUCAGUUUCCGAUCAACAAGCGUGAUGCUCGAUGUGACGCCAUGUUUUCCAAUAAAAUCUUUAACUUUGCGUUUCUGACUACGGUUCGUGCAAAUUCAAUUCUGUGAAUAAUCAGCAUGCGUUUAAUUCUAUGGAUAAUUAAAUUUUCACUUUUGCGACUGUGUGGCAUAGCGCUAGUGAAUUGAGCGUUCCGAAAAAAGUGAAGAUAGUGGAGUGAACAAUGUGCUCGGCCAAAGCCAUUUGCCGGCAACUACCUGCUUGACACAUCUUAUUUGCUGAGCUCACUGCGCACCACUUUUUCUUUUAUCCAUCGGAGCGAUUUCCAAAAUCAAUUGCAUCGAGUUGUCCGUUGGCAGUUAUCAGAUUUCGGCAGUGUUUUUUGCCACAACAGCUAUUGUUAUUCAAGAUUCAUUCAUCUCCUCCAUAUACUCCCAUAUUUACUUUACUAAGAUGCUUCGCAGAAGCCUUCACGACAAAAAAAAGGAAAAUAAAUAGAAAUAAGUAAAAUAAAUCAUUAUUACUGAAA